UAGAUGUAGUGGCGAUGCGAAGAGGAUUUUCAAGAUGCUCAUCUGAAAUUUUUGUUCUGAUUUUAUUUUUUGUAUGCUUCAUACGAGAAAAAAACUGCUCGCAAAUGUAUGUACUCCCCAUAAGAGAUGUCAUGAACAGGGCGUGUUCGUGAAGUGAUGGAUAUUUUUCUUUGGAUUUUCCCCUUGGAGGCGCAAGUUCAGGUCGUUUAAAUGAGCAGUGAUGUCUACUAAGAAGGCUAAAUCAGCCAUCCAGCUUGCACUUUCAAAUUCAGG